rnacentral:rRNA from 1 species
CUACGGGGCGCAGCAGUGAGGAAUAUUGCACAAUGGAGGAAACUCUGAUGCAGCAACGCCGCGUGGAGGAUGACGCAUUUCGGUGUGUAAACUCCUUUUAUAUGUCAAGAAAAUGACGGUAGCAUAUGAAUAAGCUCCGGCUAACUCCGUGCCAGCAGCCGCGGUAAUACGGAGGGAGCAAGCGUUACUCGGAAUCACUGGGCGUAAAGGACGCGUAGGCGGGAUAGAAAGUCAGGUGUGAAAUCCUAUGGCUCAACCAUAGAACUGCACUUGAAACUUCUAACCUAGAGUAUGGGAGGGGAAGAUGGAAUUAGUGGUGUAGGGGUAAAAUCCGUAGAUAUCACUAGGAAUACCAAAAGCGAAGGCGAUCUUCUGGAACAAUACUGACGCUAAGGCGUGAAAGCGUGGGGAGCAAACAGGAUUAGAUACCCCAGUAGUC